CUCAAGAAGCGUCUGAAGGGUUUGUAGUCUCUUCUUUAAUUUCUUGCUCUCUUCUUCUUUUAUGUCUAUUUCGAGCGGACAACAGCAACCAGCGUUUGGCUAGCUCAACUGGUAUACCAUGGCUCCUUGCUUUCCUUCUCGGUACACCAUGGUCAGCUCCCUACUUUCACAGGUCUGAAUUACUGCAAGUGGAGGUAAAUUUAUGAAGUAAUUUAUGGUCUGUAUGGUCGUUUUUGGACAUAACUUAUUGCAGGCAUUAAAGCAUGUCAGUGCUCUUAUUCUUGAACUAUCUAAAGUCCCCUUACAAUAUAGAUAUAUACCAUCAUCAAUGGUGUUAUUCUCACAGAUUUUGAUGACGAAGACUCCUUCCUUAUCUCAAAUAAAAGUUCAUGCAAUCUCGAGCACAUCAAAUGGAGAUGAUCUCACAUGUAUGACCUCCAUCCUAUAUGCUUGGGAUCAACUAUACAGAGGCUCUCUCACUUGUAACCAAUUAUAUUAUCCUCAUCGAUGCGACUCCUAACCUUAUAUGUAAGGUGUUUGACACUACUAUAAACAUGAGUUUAUGAAAGUGUUAAUUAAUAAAAUGGAUACCUGGUAUAUCCGGCAAGGUUACAGAAAUAUGUCUAUCUAUAAUCCAUCAUUCCGUCAAGUCAAGUGACAAUCGUUGAAAUGCUUCAGCUCCAAUGAGAACCCAUAUGUGGUUCCCAUGACUUCACCCCAUGUGUCAUGUUUUUUGCGCUUGGACAGCGUCCAAAGCCUGAGGUUCAGGGGGGACUCAUUUGCUUAAUAUUUUUCUCUCUCUCUCCUUACUUCCGUAGGCUUGCGGACAAGGGUGGUACUUCAGCUACGAUUAAACUAAACCAGUCGAAAGAAGAAGGGCUCGGUAAGAGAGGUGGGGCCCCGGAAUCGAUGGAGAUGGGUUCCAGCCAAGGGGGGACGUUGACCUUUUGCAAACUCCGUGCAGGUCACGGCUUUUGGGUCACUUUUCACCCCCAAAUCAUGCUGACGCCAUCUCCAUGGUGCUUAUAAAUUUUUCUUUUAUGGGCAGGCACUCCUUGAUAUCUAAUACUUGGGUACGUACUGUGGGGACUGGGACAG
rnacentral:lncRNA from 1 species